rnacentral:snoRNA from 1 species
UUUUUUCUAUGAUGAUUAAUUGGAAUUUACACAUGUCAGACUUCGGAGAUGCGUGCAUCAAUGAGAAGAUAAACCAUUUAUCUGAGAUUUUG